rnacentral:lncRNA from 1 species
AACACGAAGGAAUACGGUGCCGCGAACGCUGACGGUCAUCUGGCACAACCGCGAUAGCAAGAUCUCCAAUCGGUUCAAAAUCCGCUGCCGCUUGAACAAUUACCUGCAUCUGCACACUGAGGUGCUGAGAGUAAAGUGAGUACUCCAACUCAAUGAGUAAUAAGGGUAAAUAAUAACUGAGCAGCAAUAAACCAUGUAAAGC